rnacentral:rRNA from 1 species
UGCGCGGAAGAUGUAACGGGGCUAAGCCAGUUACCGAAGCUGCGGAUGCAUCCGCUCUUUUAAUUUGUUUAUGUAGAGUUAAGAAGAAGUAGAAAAAGAAGUAAGUGGAUAGACGAAUUAAGAGAGCGGAUGUGUGGUAGGAGAGCGUUCUGUAAGCCUGAGAAGGUGAAUCGAGAGGUUUGCUGGAGGUAUCAGAAGUGCGAAUGCUGACAUGAGUAGCGAUAAAGGGAGUGAAAGGCUCCCUCGCCGUAAGUCCAAGGAUUCCUGCGCAACGUUCAUCGGCGCAGGGUUAGUCGGCCCCUAAGGUGAGGCAGAGAUGCGUACUGAUGGGAAGUGGGUUAAUAUUCCUACACCGAUAUGUGAAGUGAAGGGGGGACGGAUUGCGAAAUGUGAACGAGCUGAUGGAAGUGCUCGGUAUUGUAGCUAAGAAGUUGAUUAGGCAAAUCCGGUCAAAGGAUUCAAGGCUAUGAUUCGAAGAAGACGUAAUGUUUUUGAAGUCACAGGAAGUGGUUCCAAGAAAAGCCUCUAAGCGAUAAUUUACAUAUUGACCGUACCGCAAACCGACACAGGUGGACGGGAUGAAUAUUCCAAGGCGCUUGAGAGAACUCAGGAGAAGGAACUCGGCAAAUUGAUACCGUAACUUCGGGAGAAGGUAUGCCUUUGUAUGGUGAAUAGCCAGAAGAGGCCGCAGAGAAUAGGUGGCUGCGACUGUUUAUUAAAAACAUAGCACUCUGCAAACACGAAAGUGG